GUAGGUGAACCUGCGGAAGGAUCAUUAACACAUCUCUUUACAAUUCUCUUCUUUUUUUUUUUUUUUCCAAAAAAAAAAAGAGAAGGAAUUUCACCCCUUUUUUCUAGCGAACAUUUGUUUUUUCCUUUCGGGGAAGUUGAAUUGCAUGCAGUUCAAUUUUUCCGCUUUUUCUUUUUCUAAAACACAAACAAACCCAAUUGAAACAUUUCUUUGACUGAAAAAUUUUAUUGUACAUUUUCGAACGAAGAUGUACAAUACAAAAACAAAUACAAAUUGAAAAAACAACUCUUAGCAACGGAUAUCUUGGCUCUC
rnacentral:misc_RNA from 1 species